GAUGAAGAACGUAGCGAAAUGCGAUAGGUAAUGUGAAUUGCAGAAUUCAGUGAAUCAUCGAAUCUUUGAACGCACAUUGCGCCUUCUGGUAUUCCGGAAGGCAUGCCUGUUCGAGAGUCAUUAACAACCGUUUCGAUCCCUUUCUUUCAGAAAUUACAAAGAGGAAAAGGGUUUGGUUAUGGUGGAGGAGGGAAAGGGAGCGUUUAGCCUGUAAAAAAAGAGGCUGAGUUCCGCCUCCCCCCCAAAAUUGUACAGGCGGUCGUGUGCGCCCACGCAUCGAGGUGUUGUAAAAGCUGCCACGGCACUUUUCACCUGUGCAGUGCGAGAUUGGCCAGCCGGUUUAAAAACCCCUCCAAACAAUCAAAGGUUGACCUCGGAUCAGGUAGGGAUACCCGCUGAACUUAAGCAUAUCAAUAAGCGGAGGA
rnacentral:misc_RNA from 1 species